rnacentral:rRNA from 1 species
UACGGAGGAUGCAAGCGUUAUCCGGAAUGAUUGGGCGUAAAGGGUCCGCAGGUGGCAGUGUAAGUCUGCUGUCAAAGAAUGAGGCUUAACCUUAUCAAGGCAGUGGAAACUACACAGCUAGAGUACGGUCGGGGUAGAAGGAAUUCCUGGUGUAGCGGUGAAAUGCGUAGAGAUCAGCAGGAAUACCCGUGGCGAAGGCGGCCCCCUGGGCCGAACCUGACGCUGAGGCGCGAAGGCUAGGGGAGCAAACAGG